AUUGAACGCUGGCGGCAUGCUUUACACAUGCAAGUCGAACGGUAACAGGUUAAGCUGACGAGUGGCGAACGGGUGAGUAAUGCAUCGGAACGUGCCCGAUCGUGGGGGAUAACGCAGCGAAAGCUGCGCUAAUACCGCAUACGAUCUGAGGAUGAAAGCGGGGGACCGUAAGGCCUCGCGCGAUCGGAGCGGCCGAUGUCAGAUUAGGUAGUUGGUGGGGUAAAGGCUCACCAAGCCAACGAUCUGUAGCUGGUCUGAGAGGACGACCAGCCACACUGGGACUGAGACACGGCCCAGACUCCUACGGGAGGCAGCAGUGGGGAAUUUUGGACAAUGGGCGAAAGCCUGAUCCAGCAAUGCCGCGUGCAGGAAGAAGGCCUUCGGGUUGUAAACUGCUUUUGUACGGAGCGAAAAGGCUCUCUCUAAUACAGGGGGCUCAUGACGGUACCGUAAGAAUAAGCACCGGCUAACUACGUGCCAGCCGCCGCCGUAA
rnacentral:rRNA from 1 species